UCUGAGCGCAGCUGAGGGGAGUUGUGUCUCCUCGGGCACCGCCGGGGCUGCGGCUGGGACGCUGGGCUCAGCGUCUUUGCUGACAGGAGCUCGGUCUUCUCAGGACUCGCUGGGGUUUCGGCUUCAGGACAAAGUGGGGCUGCGUCCACGCUGACGGGAGCUGGGUUUCCUGAGGACGCCGGCAACGCCGGCGGAAAAGGGGAGGAAAAACUUCAUUUCUAUUUUUGCUACAAGACUCUGGAGGAGCAGGUGACAGUCACUGGGGCACAAGGUCAUCCACAGGACCCAAGACAUGGUAGCUACUAAUAUACUCUUCCCAUGGUGCCUGUUAAUACCAUGCGGACUCCUACAAGGGAAAUAAGUAUCACAACUUUGGUUGAACUUGGUCUGGUCUCAGAUGUACCUCAUGGUCACCACUCACAGUUCCCGCAGAGCCCAGAGAUUUCUCCUUGAAGGAAAGGUUCUGGAAAAUCAGAGGGAUAAAUAAAGAAUGCAGCUGAUUCCCGCCUUGUGCUGACACCCAAGAGGGUGAGGAGAAGUUUUCAGAUUGCUUUCCCCACAGGUCCGUGGGCAGCAAAUAAACCCACCCAUUACGAAGCGGCAGCUGAAAGUCCUAAAUGGUUUGGUCAGUAACAGCCAGGAGCUGAGAACGCUCUGUGCCAGGAGAGCCUGCGUGGUUGACAAAGCCAUUAGUAGCCCUUCCCUGAUGCAGAGCGUCAUCGUCAUGCUUUAUCCAAUUACUCAGAAUAUAUCAGAAGCAAGGUGCCAGUGCUAUUUUACGAAGAAUUAGAAUCCUAAACUACAAGUUAAAAGGCUGUUCUCUGGUUUACUCUCUUCCAUGUGGAGGGUUGGCUGAGGCCAUGGAAGUGAAUGUGGUCUGCUUACCUGGUUUCAAAUGUAGCUUCAGACAAAAAUAAAGAUA